GCCCGCCACGCCGCGCGCUGUGUGUUUCAGCGUCAGAGCCGCGAUCCGCGCAGACAGUCACCUUCCAGAGGCCAGCUGGUACAGCCAGCCUACUGUAAACACUGGUGCGAGACGGCGUGUGCGCCCCGCGGCCCGUUAGCUGGAGAGCCGCCAGGCCCUGAGGACGGCCGGGCCCUCACUGCCCGACAUGGACGGCGCCUCGCCCCGACUGCUGCUGCUGCCGCUGGCGCUGCUCGCCGCUGCCGGCCCCACAGGCUGCAGCGCCUCGCUGUGGGUAGUCCACAUGGGUCCCUGUCCGCUGGUCCUAGGGGGAGACUGCCCGGAUCCAGCAGUCCGUUUCUUCCUCUUCACUGGUUCAGGUGAUGAUGCUGACCGAGUGCAGGUGGAUGGCUCGGACAAUUGGGCGGCCCUCGACGGUCCUUGGUUCGACCCUUCGCUGCCAACCAAGGUGAUUGUGCACGGCUACAACUCGGGCAUGGACAUCCAGCCGCUCGCUGCCAUUAGGAACGCCUACCUGCGCCGCGGCGGCCACAACGUGCUCUCAGUGGACUGGACGGCGCUGUCCCCUGGGCCCUGCUACCCCAUGGCGGCGCACAACGCACGUUUCGCGGGCCGCUGCCUCGCCAGGCUGGUUCGCGCCCUGACCACGCGCGGCGCCACCGAUGUGCACGUGGUGGGCUUCAGCGUGGGCGCCCACGUGGCCGCGUACGCCGCCAACAGCCUGCGACCCUACCGACUGCCACGCAUCACCGGUCUGGAUCCGGCGCUGCCGCUGUUCGUGACUGCGAACCGCGACCACAAGCUGGACGCGAGCGACGCGCUCCUGGUGGACGUUCUGCACACCAACGCGCUGGUGCAGGGCAAGCUGGAGCGCUGCGGGCACGCCGACUUCUACCUCAACGGCGGCGUGGACCAACCCGGCUGCGGCGAAACCUCUGACCGGUUCGGCUGCUCCCACCACCGCGCGCCGCUGUACUUCGCCGAGUCUGUGACGGCGGGCCGCGACGCCGGCGGCGGCUUCUGGGGCUGGCGCUGCGGCGGGCUCAGCCUCUUCCUGCUGGGCCUGUGCCCCGCCCGCGGCGACCAGGUGCCCAUGGGCGAGUUCCUCGACCCCAGGCAGGAGGGCUUCUUCGUGGUGCAGACGGCGUCGUCCCCGCCGUUCGCGCUGGGCCGUUGGCGCUCUAGCGACCCGUACCGCCAGCACACGCAGCCACUGCCCGUGGCGCUGCCUGCGGGAUCUGCCGACGACUGCGAAGACGAAGACGCUGGCCGCCUCCUCCGCAUGCUGCUCGGCGACCGCGAGCCCGAGCUCGUGUUGCUGCCCUGACUGUCCACCCUGCUCUGCUCUACAGUCUGUCUAGUCCCACACGCGGCUUCAGCUGUUUUCUUAGACAUAGGCCGCAUCUACAUGUCUCCCCUACAUCCAAGCCGUCAUUAGCGUGCUCUGGCGGUGCACCGUUCAACAUCCACAUACUUAUUGACGUGUUACACGUCAUGCGUAUUUCCGGCCGACCUUCCCGCUUCACAGAUGCAAGAUGAAAGGCUCUGCCGCCAGAGGACUCUGAACUGAAUCAUGUAACAUGGCGGUGCGUAUCGUAACUAUCUCGACACAUGAGAAACAGUGUGCUGUAAUCGAGUUUCUAACCACAAAAGAGCUCGUUCACACGUGGAACACACUUUUCUUAAGCAUGGUAAAGCCCCAUCACACACGAGUGUUUCGACAGCUCCAACAAUCCGACGCCUUGCGUCACUGGAGAAGAUGGUUAUUGAAAGGGGAGGUGAUAGUGGAGAGAGAGAGA